GACGAACGCUGGCGGCGUGCCUAACACAUGCAAGUCGAGCGGAAAGACCCUGCUUUUGCGGGGUGCUCGAGUGGCGAACGGGUGUGAAACACGCGAGUAACCUGCCCCUGACAUUGGGAUAUCUUCAGGAAACUGCGGAUAAUACCGGAUAUGAGCUCUUGAUGCACGGGGGUCGUUGGAAAGAUUCGGUGGUUGUGGAUGGAAUCGCGGGUUACCAGCUUGUUGGGGGGGUAGUGGCUUACCAAGGCUUUGACGGGUAGCCGGCCUGGGAGGGUAGCCGGCCACAUUGGUACUGAGAUACGGACCAGUCUCCAACGGGCGGCAGUGGGGGGGAAUAUUGCACAAUGGGCGGAAGCGUGAUGCGGAGACCCCGGGUGCGUGAUGACGUCCUUCUGGUUGUGAACCGCUUUCGCCUGAGACAUAGCGUGCUUGACGGUAAUGAGUAAAGAAGCACCGGCUAACUACGUG
rnacentral:rRNA from 1 species